CACACAUAUAAACAUAUAUGUAUAUUUGCAUAUGUAUAUAUAUUUGGCAUAUAUAUAAAUAUAUAUGUAUAUUUGUAUAUCUAUAACAGGAAAGAAAUAUUUGACUUCAUGGAGUCGAUGUGAUGUUGUGUCAGAAAAAAGAAUGGCAAACAAACAAUAUAAAAUAGGGUACUAGGCAUAAAGAGUGGCAUGGGUGUAGCACAUGUGGUCAGGACCCACCUGGCUGAGGGGAUUAUAUGAUUGUAUACUUGGGCAAUGAAAAGAAAUUUAAAGGGAGGAAAGACAAUUUCCAGAUGCAAUCAUUAAGGUAGCCCUCCUGAGAAAAAAAGAAUAUUAGAGUUGAUUCUUGAAGGAUGGAUAGAAUUUAAUGACCCAUCCAUUACUCAAUUCACUUAGCUAGUACUUAGUGAGUAUGUGACAGUCAGUGGAAACAAUAGUGGAGGUGCAAGAGAGCAUCUCAUGUGGAACUUCAGAUGGAGAACAUAAGAUGACAGCUGUCACCAUCAAAUGGAAGACAGCAACAAUAGUAACAAAGGUAAUAAGCACGUUUCUUGCAGAAGAUCUAACAAUUAACUGAUGGGAGAAAAGGCCUUGAAAAAAAAAACUUACCUGAAGGGUUGAAAGGUUUAAAAUUUCUAGGCUGAGGACAUAGAACUUUGUCAAUAGACACUAGAGAGUGGCUAAAAGGCCUUUUGAGCAAGGAGGUAAUAUAAUCAACUUAUUUUAAAAAUCAACCCAAGGGCAGUUAGAAAACUCUUUCAAUACUUAGGCAUGAUAGUAUAGAAUUACUUGCUCAUUCAUUCAUUCACUCAUUCAUUCAUUUAUUCAACAAGUACUGGUCCUCUUUGUCCAGUCCAAUGCAAGAUUAGAAGGAGAAAUAGGAAUAAAAGAAUUACAUAUGCAAACAAGUACGAAACUAACUUGUUUGAAGUCAAUACAUGAAGAGGACUAUAAUUUCAAGUGAAGUAAAAGUUUAAAGAAAUAACUGUAAAUGUGUUUUCUGUAUUCUUUGUUACAAAAAUAGAAUAUCCUUUUUAAAAAUCCAAUUAUGCCAUUUUUCCAACUGUCUACCUUAGUCUGUUAUGAGCAAGACUUAAAGUUGGACUGAACAGAUGACCCUAGAUAAAAACACUAGGAUAAGAAAAACCUAAUAUAUUCAACCAACUGCAAUAAUUCAUAUUUUUAAGAUUUCAUUUAGACUAUUAUGAAUAAUUUUAAUAUACGGCCUCUAAAAUUUAUGAACUGUAGUUAGAUGACAUUUUCAAUUCACAAAGGCAAAUGAAUGUAUUUAGAUGAUAUACAAUCUUCCUAAUGGUGGAACUUUUUAAUAUAAAGUUUUUAUUGUAAUAAUUUAAAAUGAACACCACACACAUUUGUUGAGAAGGCCUCAAGGUCAAAAUUUUCAAAUGCCACUAUCAGUUUUGUAGCCUAAUGCAAACUCAUAGUUAAAUAAACUAGUAAGGAACCAUGUUGUUUCUUUUUAAGGCCCAAAAUAAUGUAAAGUUCCUUUAACAUAUUUUUUUGCAUAAUUGAGACUUCAGACAACCAGAAUUAAUACAAACAUGUACACAAAUUUGGCAACAGCAAAAUGGGAACUAUGCUUGAAAAUACUUGGGGGCUGUUUCCUCAGCCUACAGUGGCAACCCCUGCUGUGACAUAGUCUCUAAUCAAAAGAUUGCAAGGGUUGAAAAGAGUAGUGAGGUGUCUUUUAUGACCCAACCUCCAACCCAGCCAUGAGUAAUUACAGCAGGAGCAAGAUACAUGAUCCAAGCUGGAUUUUGCAAAUUCUAGCAGAUUUUCUUCUGGAAAUUUGGGUAAUGGGCAUUGGGAAGUAAUGAAUAUUAAGGAAGUUUAGAAUAAUUACCAGCAAUAUACCAUACUGGUGUCUUGGUUUCUGUGCUUUCUGAGGUCCGGGUUGUUCCCCAUAUGUGGAUUUUUUGAGAUGACCAGUAUCUCUGCAGUAAAAUUUGUCUUGUUCAGGUUCUUUUUAAUUAGAGUUCAUGGUUUGCUACCUAAAAACAAACAAAACAAAAAGACUUUAAUCUGAACAGUCAUUUUACAAUUGCAAUCAAUAAAGUUUUAAUUUUUUUAAAUUACUCUAACAUUAUACAGUCAGUAUAAAAUAUUUUUUCAGCUCAAGAAAUUAUGUCAUUGGUUAAAAACUGAUUCUCAUGACUUUGAAGCCACAUUUAAUUUUAUAGCGAUUUUAAGAUUUUGCAAAGUAUUAUAUAGAUUCUCUCAUGCUUUCCUCUACCAUGUACAAACCCAGAAUAAAGAAAAUUUAUAGUGCAAGCAAAGGAAAUGCAGCCACAAAUAUAGAUGAUCUUGAACUCUAAAUCAAUUGGAAUAGAUUUUAAAACAAAACUAGGACAAGUCCUUUUAGAAGUGAAGUUAGGGCAGAAAAUGGUCCUUCCAGGGUAGUGUUGUAAUUUGGAUGUGAUUCGUUUCAGCCCAUUGCUCAAAUUAUUCACAAAAUUUUCCUUCCUCAUUUAGUUCUCUGAACUGUUCAAGGAUAUGUUUAUCAGCAGCAGGAAGAAAUGCCUGGUAGCUUUAGAAGAUUGCCCUGUCUCUUUGCAUUACUUCUUUCAACUCUGAUGUUUACUUCGAUUUUUAAAAUGACACUGAGAGGAUCUGUAGGUUCUAAAGGAUUUUGUUAAGAAAAACUCAAUGUCACAGUGACUAAAACUCUUCCUGAACAACAAUCAGUUAGUAAUCCCUUUCUCUUUGUCCAUUACACAUCUUCCUUUUAUUUGUUGUUGUUUCUUGCUUUAGUGGUACAUAUUAAAAUUAAUGGCUGUUUCAUGAUUUUAGACGAGUAUCCACUUUUCUUUUAUUAGCAGGUGUAAUUCAUGAAAAGUAUACUGCAGAAACCUCAAUUAUAAUGCCCCUUUCUGAUAGAAUUCAAUUGAAAGAUGUUAUUGCUGUUUAUUAAUUGCUCGGUCUGCACUGUCAUGGUUGAUGAUGUUAGCACAGACCCUCCAUUGAGUUACAUUCUUGUAUUCAAUUAGGGACUGUGUAUUAUUGUACAUGCUAACACUGUAGAACCACUGAUGCUAGCCAUCUGGUAGAUUUGAUUUUUUCCCCCUCAUAGUCCUCAAAAAUGGAGCAAUUUACAUCAGUACUCCUAGAGAGACUUACAAAAUAAAAUAAGCACAUAAGCACAUGAAUUGCAGGUUUAAAAACAAGGACAGUGUAAAAUUUAAAUUUGAAGAUUCUACCGAAAGUAAUUGCAUUAUUAGAAUCACUGGACAUUUUAAUCAUUCUAGGUGGUCACAUGCCCAAAGAAGAAUAAGAUCAGAAGUGAUGCUGGUUUAUCACGUCACAAUGUUUUUCUCUGGUUAAAUGGAGGACAGUGUUACGUUGUUAAAAGAUUAGAGUGACUAAGAAAGAUGAUAAAAUCAGGUGGGCUAAAGCUCCCCCAGGAGAAGAAGAUGCAUGAAUGGCAAACCGGUCCUAACAGGACAUUUAGGAAAGGAAGAAUGCUACCUGCUCCUCACUUCCUUCCCUCCCGGUACCAAAUAAUUGCUGAUACUUCCAAUACAGAACAACGUUUCAGAAUAAAGAAGCAGAGCAGGAAAGAUACCUGGCUUGCAGCAGCCUUUAAUUUCACAGACUCUUUUCAUGAAUUAUUAUAAAAAGAUGUUCUCUGACAAAAUAGAUCUUUUCUAAGGUACCUCAAUAAUGCAUUAUCGUAGCUGUGCAAUCAUUUACCUUUGACAACUCGACAUUCACCCUGGUCAGUUUUGUCACUUAAUGUCAAUGUGGAUUGAAGAUCUCCUGCUUUUAAACAAUCAUGACUUUCUCUUUGAAAACAGGAGGCAUACACCCCAUUGCUCUGGCCAAAUUCCAGAUUAGGUAAUAAGAUUCUGUUACCUAAAGACCUCCCGCAGUUUCAAUUAGAAAAAUCGUUGUGCCUCACUCCUCUACCUGUGGAGCUAUAUAAGGGUAUGUAUCGCACUGCUAAACAGCAAACAUGUUUCACCCCAGAAGGAACUGCUCUUUAUCAUCAUCCUUAAUUAAUAUUUAUUGGGUACCAUAAGGUGAGUGGCUUGGGAUGAGGUGACUUGGUCAUUAAAUGUUCCUAAAUGCCAGUUGUCCCCUCCAAGAAUGAAUGUGGAUGACCAAAGUUUGAACAGUCUAUUCAUUAUCACAGAAAUAGCAUCUAUCCUUGUAAUAUGGUGCUACCUCGCCCGCUUCUGAUAUCUAUCCAUCUGGUACACCUCUAAUCAAAACUAUUUUUCACAUCAUUGGCUCCUAAUAGCCUCAGAAUUAUGUUGAGAAGCUCUUUUUGGGGACUGACCAAAGAGCAUGAGUUGGCCUUUUGGCUCCAACCAAUUGCAAAUUACAAAUAUCUGCUCUUCUGCAGGGCAGGGAGGGGGUGAGUUUGUUGUCCUAAUGAGCAGCAUGCUUUUAAUGUUGAAACAAGACCUCUGUGUUUCUAGGAUUACAUUGUCGUCUGUGCCAUCUGCUCUUCUUUUUUGCUCUCUCGCUCUGUUCACAGGAUGCAGAGGCGCCGGGAACUUUCAGAAAGAAUUGGGUUUAAUGCUUCCUUUUUCCAUUCUCCAGACAUUGUCUUGAUUUGUAGACUGAUUUGAGAGCUGGCUAGUGAAGGACUAUUUACGUCAAUGAUCAUGCUUUCUUCUUGCCUUAUGCCUACUAUGCUCAGAGUCUCAAGAAUUCAUGUUUUCUGAUAUAACUUCCAGGAAGGUGUGACAUUGCCAGGGGAAGUAAAUAUUUCAGGGAUGGCCCUGUUCAACCAUCCCUCUAUUUGAGGCAUUGACCCUGACCCUCUGGUCUAAACAUUCUGUUCUGUGCAGGUGUACAUUCACACAUCCUGGGCACAGGUGCCAGCAGAUACAGAGGAUAAACAAAACAGUUUUCUCUUAGAGCUUACACUCUAGCUCUGAACAGAGAGCCUCUACCCCAUGUGGCAUCACACAAGAUGCAUCCUUUCGGCUUUCUCAAGGAUGAUGACAAAACAUGAAUUAAGAAAAAAAUACACUUUUUGUGUUUAUUUUUAAAGUUUUAUUUCAAAUGUCUCACCACUUUCCUCUUUUUUAUUUCAGGAGAGGAUAAUGUGCGUGGGAGCGGAUUACUAAGAGAAUGACGAUAUUCUCUGUAUAGGGGAAUUAUCUUAUAAAAACAUGUGUGAUUGCUUGUAUUUUGUUACAGAACCAAGGUUGAGAACUGCAUUUACGAUAGUUGUAAUAAGAUUUAGCAUUUUUAUAAACCCUGAAAUGUACCAAGAUAUACCAUAGCUACUAGAAUCUAGUGAUGUUUCCAUGUGCUUUUUCCUGCACUCUCUUCCUUCCCACAUUUGGGAUCAUCCCCUUUUACACCUAUCUUCAUCCCAAUGCAUCUUCUGGUCCCUUCCUCGGUGUCCCAUGGGACCUUUUUCUACUGCUAUGAUACAUCCCUGUAGUCUUAGCAUUCUCUUAGAAAGCAUCCUUUAUUGCCUCACCAUAAAGGACUUCUUCCAUGUACUGUAUCAGGUAUUCUUCCAAGGUUGCAACAGCGUAGAAACUCUGGGGAACUUGAGCAAAGGGGAACUUGGUGGAAGGAGAGUGGGAGCUCAGAGAAUCACUAGGCAGGCUAGAGCACCAGUGCUAAAAAUGGGCAUGGGGAAUGUUUCCCAAAAAAAAAUCCUUCUGUUUUAGAGAUGCAUACUGAAAUAUUUAUGACUAAAAUGACGCUUUUUCUAGAAUUUGCUCCAUUGUAGGGUGACGGUAGAAAGGAUUAUAAAAGAAACAAGAAUAGUCAUGAGUUGAUGAGUUCUGUAGCUGGAUGAUGGGUACAUUUGAGUUCAUUUUCUGUCCUCACUACUUUGGGGCAUGUUUAAAAUUCCCAUGGAAGAAGACAAUCAAAAUUAAAAGAUGUAUCCAAGGCUAGUUGUCCUGAAAGCUACUCACUAUUGUGCACUAACAGACAUGGGUGUCAUGACUCUCUAUAGACAUGAGACGCAGGCAAAGGAAGAUACAUUUGGUUCAUAGGUAUUUGCUCUGCUUGAUUCAGUCAGGAGGUCUGUGUGUAUGUAUAUGUGAGGGUGUGUAAGUGUGUGUGUGUGAGUGUGCUCCAAGAUGUGAGUAUAUUUAAGUAUGUAAGUGCCUGCAUUCUGAGCCAUGUGUAUGUGUGUGGCUAUAGGAGUGUUGUGUGGCUGCGUGGGUGUGGGUGUGAAAUAGAUCUGGCAAUGUGCAAGGUCUGAGAGCAGAGGUGGCAGAGUCGAAGUGCCCUUGUCCUCUGUAGCAGGUCCAUCUCACAUUUAGUUGACAACUGUUCUGUCUGAUAAUCACUGCAGCCUUUGAAGUUUCCAUCCAGUGAAUACUAACCCCAAAAUAUAAAUGUCCUUUUCCCCAAACUGAGUAUGUUUUAUUAUUAUGAAGGCAUGAUUUGUAUGCUGUCACUCAGUGCAGUAUAAUGUAAAAACAUAAUCUGCAGUGUAGCUUAUUGACAAUAAAUUUUCUAUAUUUUAUCUCAGAUUUAAAAAAAUAAAAUAAAAAGAAGUGAGCAGGAACCAAGGUGACCUAGAUGGUUAGGAAGCAGGAAAGAGAAAAUCAUGAGAUGGUGAAGAGCCCUUACUUUAUUUUCUAUUUCUUUUUCUUUUUCUUUGUUUUUUUUUGAGAUGGAGUUUCACUCACGUCACCCAGACUGAAGUGUAGUGGCACAAUCUCAGAUCACUGCAACUUAUGCCUCCCGUUUUCAAGCAAUUCUCCUGCUUUUGCUUCCCGAGUAGCAGGGAUUACAGGUGUCUGCCGCCAUGUCCAGCUAAUUUUUUGCAAUUUCAGUGGAGAUGGGGUUUCACUGUGUAGACCAGGCUGGACUCAAACCUCAAGUGAUCCACCCACCUCGGCCUCCCAAAGUGCUGGAAUUACAGGCGUGAGCCACUGUGCCUGUCCCGCACUUACCUUAUUUUCAUCUCUAUCACCGGACAGAAGUCCUAAUUCCAGGUAGGCAGUGUCUGAUGGGAGGAGCUUGCUUUUCUGCUUGGUUUCUAGCUAUAUCUAGAAGAUGAAAGGAAAGUUCUGGAAGGAAAUGGGAUCCUCCAGAGGUGUGGUGAGAUGCAAUGGGUAUUUGAAUUCACCAGAGCUGAGGACUUCAGGUCCAAGGGAGAGAGGUAUUUCCUCAAAGGGAAGAUAGCAAGCUGUUUGGAGAGGGAAAAACAAUACCGGUGGUGCCCAGUACUAAAUGUGCUCAUCAGUUUGACUCCAAGACUCACGACUGCUCAUUUUUUUCUUUAGCUUUAAAAUCUUUAUUAAGGUCUGCUACCGAAGAAUGAAUUUGAGACUCCCUUCAUGUGAUAGCCAAGUGUGGACCUUCAGGAACAGCCCCAAUUUACCUUUCUUGUUUUCCUCUGGCCCUUUCAGUCCACUUGCAGGCUACAAAUACCAGUCACACAAAUACCGUCUUUCUUGAAGCAUGCUGCUUGCUUCCAUUUGCAGAUGCCUUGGGUCAAGCUUCUCCUUCUACCGGAUCUUCCUUUGAUUUUCUUGUUUGCCUUACAAAUACUUACUUGCUCCUCCCAAUCCGAAUCACAUGACCUGUGCUCUGAUUACGCUGCAUUUUGAUGAGCUGGCCUUUGCAAUGGUGUUAUGGUCAGUGAGGGCACGGCCCUCUCUUCAGGGUAGAGGGUGGGGUGCUUGAAAACAGGAAGCAUGUCCUUCACCUCUGUGUAUCUUCUCUACCAUGGCAACCAGCACCAUAUAUACCAAAUAGUAGGCACCCAGUGAGACACAUAUUUCGAGUCAGCCUUUCAUGCUUUGGCACUUGUUUAUGUUGAUUGUGAGCUUGGCAGAGAUGCAUUCACGAUGUUGCCACAGACUACAUCUUAUUAGUGACAGAUUUGUACUGACUUCUCCCUCCCUCUCCCUACUCCCCCAAACCUUGUUUUAUCUCCUUCUUGCUCCCAAUCUCUGUCAUUUUUCACAAUACUCACUGAACCAUCAGGACCAAUAGUGGGGAAUCUUUAGUUGCCUUGAAUCAGAUUGAGAAAGUGUGAGGACUUGUUACCUCAAUUGGUCCCUGAAUCUUUAGUUAGGAAGAUUUGGAGACACUGUAGGUAGCUGUACUUUGGCAUACCCACUACCUUAUUUUUGGUGGCAGUCUUAGAAAUUAAUAUUUAUUGAAUUAAUCAAUUAUUGUAACAGAAAUACAGGUAAAAGAGGGGAUGGUAGGUAAAAUGGAGAUAUAUCAAAAGAAAACUUAUUUUUGCUAUUAUUUGCAUAAUUGCCACAACCCUAAAAGGAAACAAUUUUUCUAAAUUUAACACUUGACAAAGAUAGUAGGAGACUUGGAAGCAAAAAUGCAAAAUAACAAAAAAAAGGUACUAGGUCAUGUGGCUUGCUCUAGAUAUUUUUGGCAGGGCUAAGAUGUGCUAGGAAUAUUUCAUUUUGACAUGAACUCUGACCACUUUUCACUUGUAACAUGGCCAGCAUACAGGGUAGAGUUUGUGGUAACAGUAGUGGAAGGCACUGUGGCCAUAUUAAAGAUUCGACUCACUUAUUUGAGCCCUGUGCAUCUGCAGCCUGUAGCAAACGAACUUGAGUGACCUAUUUCUUCCUUUUUUGUUUAAGAAUUAGGGCUAUAAACAGCCAAAUUAUGAAUCAGGAACUAAUAGGAUGAAUAGAUGCAAGAAAACAGCAUGCAACAAUUUAAUGAAAGAGAAAUGUAUUGUAUGCUCAAGACACAAAUAAAAUGCCACUUCUGGAUUACAGUUUUUCCAAUCUAUUUAUUUGCCUCAUUUUCUUUAACUGCUAUUUCACUCAACUACAACUUUUAAUAUUCAUUGGAUAAACAAUAUAGAAAAGCAUGGUUAUUUCAAAUCUUUGUUGAGCUCCUUCCAACUUAUUUUUAUAUUUCACCAUCUAUAAUGGAGUAUUUACUUGUAAUAGGAAACUACCUUUUACAUGGAUAAGUUAUUUUUCUUCUUUCCAAGAUGUCUAAAAAUAUCAUGUUAGAAAGACAUACUGGUUAAAUGGUUGAUUUUAGUCAGAAUCACUGAAGCCCCAUUGGGAUCUACUGUUUUACAAAGUGUGGUCCUGGGAUAAUUGUGUCAGUUUCAGGUGGGGAUUCAUGCUGAAAAUGCAUAUUCCUGUGUCAAUUCUAAAACAGAAUAUAUAACAGUGUCUGUUAAUGAACAGAAAUCUGCAUUUUUAAUAACCUUCCAGAAUCUGUUUACACCAGCUUUUGAGAACUGCUAAUCUAAGCAUGGACUAUAAUAUUAACACAUAAUGUACCUAACAUAUAAGCAGAUUUUAAAAACUUGUCAAUAUAACCUCAAUAACCUAAUAUGUCCAUAGGAAUUAUAUUUAAUUUAUUUUGCUAUCUGUAGUGCUUUAAAGGUUAAACUUCACCUUCUUUAAUUUGAGUAAACAAUAUGCUUUUGUUUGAAUAUUGGUCACCUCUAAAUAUCAUGUGGAAACUAAAUCUACAAAGUGGAUUAAAAGGGCAUGUAAAAGGUGAUUGGAUUAUGGGGACUCUGCCAUCAUGAAUUAAUGGCUUAAUGACUUGAUGGUUUGAUGGGUUAUCAUGGGAGAGAGACUGGUGGCUUUUUAAGAGGAAAAGAGACUUGAGCAUAACACGUUGGCAAGCUCCGCCCCCUCACUGUGUGAUACCCUGUACCACCAUCAGACUCCGCAGAGUCCACAUCUGCAAGAAGGCCCUCACCAGAUGCAUCCCCUGAACCUUGGACUUCUCAGCCAACAUAACUGCAAGAAAAAAAAAGUCUUUUUCUUUAUAAAUUACCCAUUUCAGGUAUUCUGUUACAAGCAACUGAAAUGGACUAAUGCACAAUUCAAGCAAACUUCCCCUCCUUAAGUUUGGAGGCUCUGUUUUAGACUCAUCCUCAAAACCAGCUCCUGUCGACUUAGUUGCUAAACCUAUUUACACUCUUUUUAUUUCGGCUGUGCUGUUUUUCUCUUUGAAGCGAUUCUGUGUCUCUUCUGUUUUCUUUGGAUCCAGAAGAACAGUGUCCAACCCACCAACUCAACUUCAUUCUUUCCAUUUCCUAAAUCAACACUCAUUACUUUAUUACACUAAUUUUGAUUUAGCACAUUUAAGACUCUAAGCAUCAUAAAUUCUUCCAGGGAGGGCCCAUAGCUAAAGUUUAAAAAUAGUAUUCGAGAGUUUACAUUUUUUUUUUUUUUUUUGAGAUGAAGUCUUGCUCUCUUGCCCAGGCUGGAGUGCAAUGGCAUGAUAUCAGCUCACAGCAAUUUCCUCCUCCUGGGUUCAAGCAAUUCUCCUGUCUCAGUCUCCCAAGUAGCUGCAACUAUAGGUGUAUGCCACCAUUCCUGGCUAAGUUUUGUAUUCUUAGUAGGCAGGGUUUCACAUAAUGGUCAGGCUGGUCUCAAACUCUUGACCUGAGGUAAUCCACCUGCUUCGGCCUCCUAAAGUGCUGGGAUUACAGGAGUUAGGACCCCCGCACCUGGCCCAUAUUGUUAUUUUUUACUAAUCAAAGUAAUACAUUUUAUUGUGAAAAAUUUGGAAAUACAGUUGACAAUUGAGUUAAAAAUAAUUCAGUAUCCCACAAUGCAAAAUCCUUAUAAUCAUUAUAACUUUUUUAAAUUGGAAGCAUAUAAAGAAAAAUCAUUAAGAUUACACUGUAUAUACACUCUCCUUUUUCUCACUUAACAAAUCUAACGCUUAAUCUGCACUGCCUUUGUAGUGUUUGGAAAGGAUAAAAAAUGGUAUGGGAGAGUGCAGAGAAAGGAAAAGAGGAAGAAAAGGAAGGAAGAGAAAGGAAGAUGGGGAUAAGGAUGGUAAUUUGAAAGUUAAUCUAAAUGUAUAUGCCAGAAUAAUGUCUUCCUUUUUUUUUUGGUGGUUGGAAAUAAAUAACUUGAAAAACUCUAUAAUGAAUUAUCUGAGGCACCAGAAUCUCACUGUUAAAAGCUAGAUAUUGGCCAGGAGUGAUGGCCCACACCUGUAAUCCCAGCACUUUGAGAGACUGAGGCAGGUGGAUUGCUUGAGCCCAGGAGUUCCAGACUACUCUGGGCAACAUGGCAAAACCCCAUUUCUACAAAAAAUACAAAAAUUAGCCAGAUGUAAUGGCUUAUUCCUGUAGUCCACGCUAUUUGGGAGACUGAGAUGGGAGGAUCACUUGAGCCCAGGAGGCAGAGGUUGCAGUGAGCUGAGAUCAUGCCACUGUACUCCAGCCUGGGCGACAGACUGAGACUCUGUCUGAAAAAAAUAAAAUAAAUAAAUAAAGGUCAAAAUAAAAGCCAGGUAUCUCUAAUCUUUGACAACUUCUUUACAUUAGAGUUAGGAGCAGAUCAUUGCAAAAAAGGAGCAUUGAGUUUGAUCACAGGAUUUGGUUUACUGCUUGGAUUCAUUUUACUUUUUUUUUUUUUUUUUUUUGCAAAGUUAACUUGGGAACUUCUUUAUAGAACUUAUCUUUUGCAUGCCUCAUAUGGAACAGAUGCAGAUUUGUCCCAUGAAGUGAUACUUGAGCUCUUCUAAUGAAAAUUGUUAAAGUGCCAAGUAUUCUUAUUCUGUUAUUAGGGUUAUAUUAGGCAACUGGCAUUAUUCAUUAUUUCUAACUAAAGUGAAACGUGGACCCCCAUGCAUGGAGAUAUUUAUUACUUAUUGAUAUUUAAAGGUUGUUAAAUUAAUCUUAUUUAAAUUACUCCUACUACCAACCACUGUUACAAUAAUUUAUUAUAUGAUAUUACUUGAGGGUUUUCUUUUACUUUAAUAUAAAACUUGCAAAAGCAAUAUAUUGCCUGUAGAUUUUUCCUACAGUUCAUUGUAACUGUGACUAAUUCAUCACAGCUGUUUAGACAUGCAAAAUCUAUAAUACUUCACAAUGUUGAUUUUCUGUUUCUGUUUUCUAAGACUAGAGCUUGAUUUGAAACCACAUAAUAAAAAAUUACAUGCAUCUCACUGGAAGAAAAAUUACUUUAACCACUUGGAGGUGGAAGACCAGGAAGAGCUGUGUGACUCUGCAGCUGGGGAUCAUCAGUAUUCUUGUAACAUCUCUAAAGCAAUUUGCCAUGCUCCCAUAACAUGAAUGUUCCUGAAAUAAUGUCUGUGGCCAUUUUGUGGCAUUUUUUGAUGCUACUAGUGAAUUUCCAAGUUAUGUUGAAGCAAGCUAGCACCAAUUUGUAGAGCUCACCUUAUUCCCUUUGAAAGUGCCAUUGCUCUAGGAAGAACACUUUGAAUGAAAAGGGAGGUUACAAUCCCUACACUCCGAGGGAUGUAGUGGAAUCCUUGGCUGCAAUGAAUUUAUAGCACGAGUGUUAUCGGUUCCUCCGAACAGGAAAAAGGAAUAGCAUCUUUUGUAUGUUGAUUUUUCUUUUACUGAUGUUUCUUUGGCACUACGUUUAGCCUCCUAACUACGAACUCUUAGAUUUGGAAGAGAACUCAGAUUUAUGACAAAAUUACUUUUAAAAUAUGGCUUAUCCAUUGCCCUCAAGUGACACAGAUGUCAGAAUUACCUAUGGAACUCCAUGAAAAACAAUUUAAUUUUUCCUGUGUUUGAGCUUUUGUUGUAUCUAUCUUUAUGAAGUAGUUUGCUUGUGUUUAUUUUUUCCUCCUUUUAUAAUUCUUAAAUGGAUAAGUUACAGUGUCUUAUCUUUCCUUGAAGCAGGGAUGAUAAGAGCAAUCGCAGUGUACUUCUAGUUGUCAAUGCCCUUAAAUUAUAAUUGAUUAGUACACGAAUAAAGAAGUGAUAGGGGAUUGGAUUUUGAAAGAAAAUGGGACUAGGUGUAACUGGUUUGAAGAUAUGAUUUUAUUGUGGAAGAGUUGAAACACAAAGGUUUCCCUAAAGUCUCAUUUUUCAUAGACAUGAGAUAAAAUCUGUAACUCUCAUUCCACUGGGGUUUAGGCCAUUUGUUGGCUUUAAUUUAAUUGGAUAGAAAGCAAGGAAUAAUGGUUUACUUUGAGCUCUCUUUUAUCUUCCUUAGUAACAUGUCACUUACCUGACCCAGGGACUCUGUGAGGGUUUUUGAAAAGGCCUCUUUAAAGUCUGCUUGCACUUAUUUGGGCACUAAAAUAUGUUUUAUUUGGAGAUGUUCAGAGGCGAUAAAAUAUAGACUAUCAUUUUAAUAAUAGAGUAAAAUUCAGUAAAAGGAAAGUAAACAGUAAAUACAGUCAAAACUAGAGUACUGAAGUCAAGCCUGCCUCCCAGAAGUUCAAGUGCUCGGUUUUAUAGUGGGCAUAUAAAUGCCUUAUGAGCCUGUUUGGUAGGAAACACUUAAAUAUGUAGAUCCUCUGUGAAGCCUCAUUACUUAUGUUUCUAAAUAUUUGUUUUGGCAUCUGGUGCCGUCUUCGGUAUACAUGCCAUUUGCAGGAUCUGCUGGAAUAGCCACUUUAGAGCAGGUGUGCUUGACAGGAUGAACUGAACACACAUAUUAUCUGCUCUAAUGAAGUGCACUUAUUCUUAGCCUGGGCAUAGUCAGUGAUGUUCUGUGAUUUCUCUAUAUACAUUCAGCAGAAGCUUUCCUGUUUCUCAAAAUACCUCACCCUAGACAUCGAGGAGCCACUUCUAUGGAAGGGAAAGCAGUUUAUCCUCCACUGACAUCCGAUUGUUAGCUGUGCUAUUGAGUUGGCGGGCAGUCAUCGUCCUGCUGACUAAGACCCCAUUCUCCUGGGUCUCACCAUGGUCAGAUCAAUGCUAUAAUCUCUAGCAAGGAAGAAUGAUAAGGCAUCUAUGUAGCAUCUCCCCUUUAGUCUUCUUUUCUCUUAGCUGUUUCUUUAAAUGCCCAGAUGGCCAACGAGUUAGAAUGCAGUGCUGAGUGUUUCCCUACAAAGCAGGCAGUACAGGGUUCUUCCCGCUCUCUUCAACUCAGUGGCCCCAGGACUUUGCACAGGACAUUUUAACUUCCAGAUUCUCAAUAUUCCCUUUUAUUCAUUUCAAAAGCUAUCACUGAGUAUCCAUGUUCAGCAUGUGGUUUUCAAAAUACUGGAAAACAAACCUGCCGUCCUUAUCCUGCCCUUAAGGGCCAACCACGCUACAGAGAAAACAGGGAAAUGAACAGCUGGUUAUGACCACGGCCCCCUCAACUUCCUAGAAUUGUCAGGUAAAUGAGACCAUAAAGGGGUCAGCACUUCCUAAACUCUCUGCUGCCAAAUGAAUUUCAGGACGUGGCUGAGGCAGUCAUGUUACUAAGAGGGCUCUGCCCAGUAACUGCGCUGAUCCCGGAAGAACACACAAGAUGUCUUUCAUGGUUUGAAACUUGGUUAGAAAUACCAGGCUCCCCAUAAAAAUAAAUGAUGGCCAUAGCCAUUAAGUAAGAAUUUGCAAGCGAUUGUUAGAAAAUAAGUUCUAGAGAUUCCAGAAGAAGGAGAGAUCUCACCGGAAGUUGAGCAAGUGCUUCUUAGAGAGGUUUAGGGCCUGAUGACUGACAGGUCAAACCUACCCAGGUAGCAAACCGGAGGAAUGGCAUUGCCUUCAAAAGAAACAGCAUUUGCAGAGGCUGAAAUGUAAACCGCCAUGUAUGGAAAGGAAAACUGUCUGUGCCAUCAAGUUCUUGAAGGUAAAUACUGACAGUGAGAGUUGUGAGGGUAUUUUUGCUCCUGUCUGCAUGAUACAUAGUUCCUUUUUAAUCUGAUAGGUAAUGUCAUUGGCGAAUGCACUUUGCCAAUGACGUUUAAGCAUGAAACUUAACAACCAUAUAUGUUUCAGACUACAUGGACAUAAAAAGAAUUAGAAAAGUUACAAUAUUUCUACUGUCUACAGGAUGUAGACUACAAGUAGAGUAUAUAUGUAAGUGUCUUUGCAAGGCAAAUAAUAAGACAGUAGUGUUUAAUAUUUAUAUCACAAAGAGUCACAUAGGUUAAAUACAAUGUUGUUUCACCCCGAGUUUGUAUAAUUUUUAAAUGAAGAGAUAUACAGUUUAUACCACUGAUUUUUAAAAGAGAACAGAAAAUUAUCAAAGCGGCUAAUUUGCUUAUUUAUAAUGUAUCUGACGCAAAUGAAAUACAAAAUCAAAGUCCCUUAAAAAAAAAAAAAGAAAGCAUUUGUAGAUUGCCUUUUCCUGUAGUCUUAGUAUUUUUUAGAACUCUAUAUGACGUGUGGGUUUUUCAUUCUUUAAUUCAUAUAAACAAAUCUCAAUGGAUUGCCAAUGGAUUCCAAUAGCCAGGCCCUAUGCCAAGUCCUGGGUAUACCAAGGGAGAAGUCUUCAGAGCCUUGUCCUCAAAGAGCUUAAUGUCAAUUGAAGAAUGUAGGAGUGAAGAUAAUGAAUCACACACAGUAUUUAGUUUAAUCUAUAAAUAUUUGGGGCAAAUGAAAAUAAGUUCACUUCCAGUUUUCUUAUUAAUUAUACUCAUUUAGCCAAAGGAAAUUUUAUUCAUGUGAAAGUUCUGUCUGUUUGAUGAACUCUCUGGAAGUCUUUGCUGUGAAGUAGCUAAAAUAUUAGCCUGAGGACACAGUUUUUUUUUUUUUUUUAGAAAUUUCUUUUGAUAAUGAUUGCAUAUGAGUGCCAGAAAACAUAGCAAAAUGCUAAUUUUUGUAUCAAAAUUAUUGAAUAUGUAAUACUCAGGAAAAAUGUAAAUGAAAAAAUUUAGGACAAUUGAAUAUAAUCUAGAUUUCUGUAAAAGACACUAGCUACCAAAUUCAUACUUGUUAAUGAAAGAUAUUGUCUAAUUUAAAAUGUAGUCUUUACUUCCAGACAUUGUAAAUGCUCUGGAUUGUAGCAUAGAUUUCAUCACAUACCUAAAAUUCCAAGGGUAUUUUCACUUACAUAACCUCUCUAGACAUUUCAAUGGAAAACAAAGAGCAGAAAAGUUAGGCUUCACAGAAGGUUUCUAAAUAGAAACCUAAUUAACGAAAUUAAUAAUCAUUCUUUGAUGCCAGGCUCGUGUGCCUUUUUCCAUCUCUAAUGGAAUCUCUGCACCUAGAAGAAUUAUGUGGCUUUUGCAUGUGGUCUUGACUAGUGACUUAACACGGUGAUUAAGACGCAUUCUUCAUGUAUUUGCAUAUAUACAAAGACAUGGAUGUCCUUUUAAAUUAUACCCACCUUCUCCCUAGGCUAAUGCUAUAUUAAAUUGCAUUGAAAUGCAAAAGCACCUCAAUAUAAUGAUUUUCCACAUCCCAUUUACUUGUUGAUUAUUAAUGAAUGCUUCCUGAGUUGUGUUCCUGCUAUUUUGUCUUUAAGACUACUUUCAGGGUUUUUGCAUCAUAUUCAAGAGGCCAGUCAGAGUUCUGUACUUGCAGCUUCAUUAAAAUUCUGUCCUACACAUCAUCUGACUCACACUUUAUAAUCUAUCAGAACACCUGUUUUCUUUACAAUGGCCACGAGGCAGCUCAAAACACUGUGGUAUUUAGCAUUUAAUAAUGAGCCCAAGAUAUGUAUUUUUGACACUUUAAAUUUUCUUUAGAAAAGUGCAUGGAAAAAAGCCAAGUUUGAAUGAAUUAUCUAAACUUUUGCAAUUUCAUAAUGUGAAUUUUAACCAACUUUUUAAAAAAUGUGUACCAGAAAGUGCCUUCUCUCUUUGUCAGUGGGCCUUACCUUGGCUAACCAGGAAAGGCUGUAGAGGGAAAUAACUUUAAAAUGUCACUGCAUAAACUAAUAGUGAUACCGAAAGUAUUUUAAGAAGAGUCUGUGCAUUAUUACUUUCCCUAUUUACAUACCCGUCUCACAGACACUUCAUUGUAAUUCUCACUCUGAGAGGAAGCUGAGAAUCUUAAUGUCACUGUUAAUAUCUAGAUAUGUUUAUAAUUUAGUGACUUAAGAAGUCAGUGAUGGGCACUGCAUGCAUAUACAUAUACAUUUUUUGCUUUAAAGUUUGGGCAGUUACAAAUGUGAUUGUAAAUGGCCCUCAAUAUAAUUGUAUCUAUUUGAAAUUCUUCAAGGGAGGGAUAGGAAGAUAAUGGAUGGUCUCAGGAGGGUAAAAUUCUGUCACUAUAUUAUGUAAAUGAAGAAACGUCUUCUAGUGCUUAUGAACUGCUAUAGUUUUCAGUGCUAAUAGAGGACAUACUGCACGUUGAUUAUUGUAAUCCUACAGCGUUAUCUCAUCAGUGAGCGGAUUAAGGGAGCUCUCUCAGCUGAGGGGUCUGAAUAAGCAUUUUCAUUUACUCCCUGCUGGGUCAUUGACAAAUGGAGGUUUUUAUCUGGGAACAUUUAAAAGCAUAAACAGUAAACAAACCUAUAGUUCCUUGCCUUGCUUGGAUCCUUUACCAGAUUUGUGCUAUCUUGCCAAGGCUGAUACCAUUCAACGUAGCAGUCAACUGGCUUCUGCUGUGCCCCCCAAAUACAGAAUUAUGUGCACCUGGCAAUGAGGGGUUGGGGAGUUGAGAGUCAGGUCUUCCCUGUUCAAAAGUAUUCAGUAGGAACCAAGGGCUGGGCGCUGGGUGCUGGGCACCAGUGGCUCAUGCCUGUAAUCCCAGCACUUGGGAGGCUGUGGCAGGCAGAUCACUUGAGGUCAGGAGUUCAAGACCAGCCUGGCCAUCAUGGUGAAACACCACCCUACUAAAAAUACACAAAUUAGCCGGGUGUUGUGGUGUGUGCCUGUAAUCCCAGCUACUCCGGAGGCUGAGGCAGGAGAAUCACUCGAACCUGGGAGGCGGAGGUUGUAGUAAGCCGAGAUGGCACCACUGCAGUCCAGCCUGGGAAAUAGAGCAUGAACUCUGUCUCAAAAGAAAACAAGUAUUCAGUAGUUUAAGUUCAUGUGUCAUCUCCUAUACCUUGUUCAAAUCCAGGUACUCAGCAAUGACAUUCACUUUCCAAUGACGCCAUGACAGGUGAUGAUAAAGCUAACUUCCCAACCCUGGAUUUCCCUCUAUUUCAUCCCCAAAUCAAAACUUGCCUGUCUCAUAUCCUUCCUCUACAUUCCAAGAGACCCUUCAUUCUUUGAUUUGUCCAUAAUGUUAGAGAAAUUAUGUUAAUGACUGAAAGUAGACUAAUGUAUUAUCAUUAAAUUGAAUCAUAUAAAAUUGUCAUUUUUGUAAGUCAAAACAAUUGAAUGUUUGUAAUUUUAUAUGGCUGAAUCUGAAAUGUCCAGUUAAUGUGUAAAGGUUAACUGACAUUUUAAGGAGAGCAACUGGAGUAGCUAACAUCUGGUGAUCACAUGACUGUUCAUGCACGUUUCUCAAUAUGACAUGCAUAUGCCUGGCAGUAUCGUUUGGUCAUCAGCCUUAUUGCCAACAUGAAAACCGAGACUGAGUUAUUGGUUCAGAGUCACAUCAUGACAGUGAAAUGACUUGAUCAGUACUAGGCUAGAAUUUUUAUGACUUUAAAGAUCACUUUCUUCUCUCCAAAAAGGCCCAAAUGUUGAAUGGUGUGCUUGAUUCAGAGGCAAUGGGAGGAUGGGGGUAGAGAGGCUUCUUGAGCCUUGAGAAUCUUAUAUGUAGGUAAUAUCUAUAAUGUCUGUGUUUAGAUUCAGUCUUGGAGAAGAGAAGUCGUAUAACCUACUAUGGUGACUUAUUUCUGGUAAGUUUUAUGCAGCAAUGUUUCUAUAAAGAGAGCGUGGAGUGAACAAAGCCUUACCUAGUCCAUAGUCUUUCCUCUUUCAGUCCAAGGCUUAAAUCCAUAAUGUUUCCCCCUUUACCACAGACCAUAGUAAUUUCCCUGUUCUGACAUCUAACACUCUGUAACUAACAACCCAACAUUUCAUUACAUUUUAUUCUGUAUGAUUGUCUCAUGGCAUCAUAUGCUUAAAUAUUAUCUUCUGAUCCACAUUAGAACUUCUUCCAAGACAGAAAUCAUCAAUAUCUUGUCUUUAUUUCACAUUUAUUUUCUGUGGAAUUUAUCCCAACACUGAGCGCAUAACAGGUCACUAAAUGUGUGCUGACUGGUUGAUCAAUUAAGGUCUUUAGUUCUAAAUUUUACUUCCACAUCUACCAUUGAUCCCUCUAUGUAGUAGGAAUAUUAAGGGCACUAAACACAAAACAGAAGUUCUUUCUCGGACAGUGAAUCAUUAAACUAAGGGUAUUGCUGCUUAUUCCAAAACCAUGCACUUUGCAAAAUAAGGAUGCUAGAUUUGUAGUAUACAUUUAUUAUAUGAUGGAGCCGAUAACUCAACAGCUGAAAUUGUUAUACCUCUAUUACUUUCAAAAGAAAGGAAAAAAUCAAGUUGCUCGAAGAUCACUAUUUCAUCUUAUAUACCUCUAACUAAAGCAUGAAAUUACAGUUCACUAAGAGAAGGCUAUGCAAAUUCUGAAAAAUGUAACCAAUACGGCUAGAUGUCAAAAUCGAAUUCCUUUUUUCUUAGAAAUGAUUUUUGACCUACAAUUUCACAAUCAAAUCGUGAUUGUUUUUAAAACAUACACAAACAUCUAUACACACACAAUCAGUUCAGAUUUCUCUAGGCACUCCAAGAACUGGUGUUAAACUGAAUUUUAAGUGAAUGUUAGUUAUAACUCUGAUACAAUGCUUACAAGACAAAUCAUUUCAGAUGUAGCAAAGGAGUACUUUAAAUUGUAUUUGAAAACACAGAAAACGUUCUAAAAUUGAAGAAUCAUGUCACAAAAUGUUAGAAGUUAGACUCUUGAUUCAACACUUUGUGAGCAUAGGCUAAAUGGGGCCUAAACAUUUAAUUGAGGUUAAAAUUGGAGUUAAUGAUAACAGAUAUUUAAUCACCCAAUGCCUUAAUGCCUUCAACAGCCCAGCAAGAAGCAGUUGAGGAAGUGUGCAGUUGCAUUUUAAAGUAUUUUGGCAUUCUCGGUAACCAGUAUAUGUCUGCAUUUGUCUAGGUCCCGUUGAGCAGUGCACAUCCAGAUGCCUAAACUGUAGAUAGCUGUAGAACAGCAAACAAAGUGGUUAUGAAGCAUCAGGAUCUCUGCAGGAAGCAAAGAGAUAUCUCAAGGAGUACCUAAUCAAACCUGACAAAUGGUGUAACAUCUUCGGAUGAAUGACUAGGCCUAUGUAAUAUUUUGAAUCUUCCUCUUGCUUGCCAGAAACAGGCUCCUUCAUGUUCUUUCAGUAUGAGAUGGGAGGGUAAGGCUUUUGUAUGAAAUAAUGCAUAGAAACCAGUGAUUUGGUCCAUCAUGUUCAGAAAAGAUGAAAGAGAGGGCUGAUUUGGAUAUGGGUAGACUAUUCGAGAAAUAGAUUGUUCCAGGUACAAAAAGGUUGAAGACACCUCUGCAGAACAGAGUUUAUGAUUUGUCGUUCCAGUGCUUUAUCUGUGAUGUAUGUGGCUUGGCUUCUUCAUGUGUGUUCUCUCUACUCUUCAUCUUUUCUCUACAUCAUGGCGCUGCUUACUCCCUACGCCUGACUCCUCAUAACUCAACUUCCAUAUGGCCCCUGGUACUUGUCUGACUUAUCUUUCAAUUGGGCCUUUCACUUUCGGCUGCAAUUUUUAGCUACUUAAUUCUUUCCUAGCACCAGUUCAGAAUCCCAGCAUAUUGGCUCAGCUCAGCUUUUUCCAUUUUUU